GUCAGUUUUCCAUCAAUGAGGGGGGAGGAAGGAACGUAGGCAUGCAGUUCAAAUUAACCAAGUCAGGAGUUGUGCAUUUGUGGCUACCUCUGAGUCCAAGGGAAUGUUAAUGGUCUAUCUAUGCAAUGUGAAAAAUACAAAGCAAAUUAUUCCAAAGCCGCUUUUAUCCAUUAGCUAAAGGGCAGUGGGUAGGGAAGAGGAAAGAUAAUGCUUAAUUUAGGCAUGGGUACAUUUGGCUAUUGUCAGUUACAGGACCAGAACUUGCAGGGAUCUACUGCUCCAUUGCCAAACUUUUCAGUGAAUGAACACGACUGAUCAAUAAAACCUCAGGCAUGUCUUGAUAAAUUUUAGGCUAGUGGUAGGAACAACAGCAAUAUAUUAAACUAAAACAUAACCUUUUUGGAAGAAUUCUGAGGAGUAAUUAAUUGGGCAUCAUGCGGCAGUUUUCAGUCACAUGGUUAGGAGUCCUAAUGAUGAAAUCCUACAGUCACUUUGAACUAUUAAAGAACAAUUAUUGAAACAUUAUGAAUGUGUCCUGAUUACUUUCCUCUCAAAACUAACCAUAUUUUGCACUUGCAUCAUAGAUAUCUUUAGUUGCUUCUAAAGUGCCUGCUUAGAGUGGGUGCGUGUGUGUGGAGAGACAGCACACCUUUUGUCUGAGGAUGUCCAACUGCUUUGCAAACACUAAUGAAAUAAACCUUGCAACAUGCACCUAGGUAAAUAUUGCAUCUGCAGAGAACAAAACUCAGGCAUACCUAGGAAAGGUGACUUGCUAAAGGUCGCAGUAAUAAUGUAGCACUCAGAACUUCUUGAGUCUCUUCCUGUGCUUAGCCAUAAAGUCGUCUUUCCUUUUUUAUAGCAGUCGAAGCAAACUAAGGCCAGAUUCUUCUGUCAAUGUGAUCCUAUGCAUGAAUUUCCAUAUCUCUGUACAGCUGAGUGAAAGUAGGGUAGUAAAAAUAAAUCCAAACCCACAGUAGGCUCUUGAUGAAGAAAGGGGAUCUCUGAUUUCUACUCCUGUAGCACAGAGUCAGUCUUCAACCAAUAACUAGUUGUGUGUGUGCCAAUAUAUACCUGUUUGGAUGGAGUUGGAUUUGUUUGGAUUCAUGGUAAUUUGAUUUGGCUGCCAAACACAAAACUGACACCUUAUUUAUUCUCCAUCUAUGCAUCAACUGUGACAUUGCCUAGAGCACAUAUCUAUGUUUUUCCUCAAAAAUCAGCAUCAAACCAUCUAUCCUGAAAGUCUGCUCCACAAUAGCUUGUCAUGGAAAUCUGGCUUAUUUUAGAAAAUCCCACCCCCCGAGCCCUUCCCCACCGCUCAACUACAACAGGGAAACCAUGUGGAACUGGAAUAACUGCUGUUCUGGGAGUAUGGAAAAGUCCUGAGGCUCCCAUUCAUGCACUGCAGUCAUGAUAACACUGUGUUCUAUUAAGUGGCAUAACUGAAGUCAGUGCAAUGCACCUGUUUAUUAUAAUUUAGCUCUUGUAAAUGAGCAGGGAUCUUGUCUGCCAGGCAUCAGAAGCAUUACAAAACGUUUAGCACGUUUGGUGACCAUGGACAGAUAAUCAUUAAUGGAUUUUAACAUCUCACUGAUGAGAGCGGGAAAUGCUAUCCACAUUUUACAGGGGUUUCCAUAUCAAUCUCUUUAUUAUUUUACCUUUGACCAAGCAAGAGGAAUAAGGAAUUCCCUCCACACCCAAUGUGAAGGUGACUUGGUGAGUGUACAGAAGUGAACAAAAGCUAGUGUCCACAAGGAGUCCUACACAUUAAACAAGACCAUUCAUUCAACAAGAAUGGAAAGAAAAACAUCAGAAUUGCAUUAUAACUAACUUUUGGGUUGGUUAGUACAUGCCAGAGCUUAUCCUUCUGUAGCUGAAACACACAGUCUUCUAACAAUGCCAGUCUCUGAGUUUCAGGAAAAGACCCAUUCUUAAACCCCUGAUGCCAAAUUAAAACAUAAUGUACCCUAUUGUAUUCUGAUUCCCAACUUCUUAUGUUUCUUAUAACUCAGUGUUACGGACAGAUUCUCACCUGCCUGUCAGCUCAGGAAAGACACUUUAUCAUUGGGUUGGGUUUUACACACUUGACACAAGUAUAUAUAACCCUGAUGGUAGAUUGUAGUCUCCUUGCAGGCUAUGUGAUGAAGGUUUCUCAAUAGAUCAUCAGCCAGAUACACAAUUGUAAACCUAGGGUUCCUUUUUAAUGCAUCCUAUGAAAAGUAAAACUAGAGAGAGAAUCACAUUCCAGAAGGAAUCUGAUUUGCUGUGACAUCAGGGCCUUGUGUGUACAAAUUGGUGGCUACCAGACAAACACAGCCUUCCCAGCAUGUAACACUAGCUCGUACGCAAGCUCAAGAAAGAUCUCUUUGUCUAUAACUCUGCUUGCUUGCUACAUUACUUGUUGGUAAUGAACCAGUCUCAGCAUUUUCAAGGCCUCAUAUUGCUCAACUGCUAGAAUGGCCUCUUGGAAUUAAGCAGGUGGUGUUAAUUACAGAGCCUAGCUUCUUUGCCUAAAGGGAUUGUGUCCACACUGGACAGUAUUCAGCUGAGGUGUCAAAAAGUGCCAGUGUUUCUGAUCACAGAGUGGACAGGAUGUAACCAGCUCGCUGAGACAGUGGGUUUGUAUGGUAACCUUGGCUUUAAUUUUUGUUUAAUGUGGACUCUAAUGGAGAUUGUGGAUUGAGAGUAAGACCAAGUUACACAGGACUGAUGGAAUGAGUGAGUAGCUUUAAGAGAGCAGCGUUAAUGCUGCUCUAAUUUAUACUGGCAGUGACCCAGUGGUUGAAUGGUUCAUGGGGGAAGGGACUAUAAAUGAUGCUGUUGUAAAAACCAAAAAGCACUUGGUGCUGCUGAUGAGUCACAGAUUUAUUUUUAUUGUUAAUCAUGCAUAUUAUAAUAGUGCUUAGGGACCAGCUGAGAACAGAGCCCCACUGUGUUAGGUACUGUGCAAACAUAGAAGAAGAGCACAUCUCCUCCCCCAAAUGCUUGUAAUCGACAUAGGUGGGACAGACAAAGGGUAAGGGAACAGGACAGAAAAUACAAGCAGAGCACACAGUGUGACGGCCGUAGUUGUCAUGUUCUGCAGCUUGAUUGUUUUUUCUUUUUUUUAUAGAAAUGUCAGUGGAGUUAUAUUAGGAAGAGAUUAGCUAGACAGAGAGACAAAGGAAGGGUGGUGGGGGACUAUGAGUGACAAGCAGGAGGGUGUGGAGCAAAAAGUCAAUCAGCAUGAGAGUUCAUGAAAACAAACUCCAAUCUGAUGACAUCAUGAUUUACACAAAUGCCCAGGGAAGCACAAGGUGCAAAUGAUCUGUGAAUCACCAAAUAGCACAAGAUGUUUGGCAUAUGAGAAAGUACUCUUGUGAAUGCACUGAACAUCCUUGACCAGGGCUACUCAACUUUGGAAGCCCUGGGGGCCCAAAGUGAUACUCACAGCCCAUGCAGAGGGCCUCAACUUCAGUGUGGUUGCAUAUAUAUAUAUGCAAAUAUAUAUGCAAAAUAUGCAAAUAGUUUC